rnacentral:rRNA from 1 species
CAGCAGCCGCGGUAACACGUAGGUCCCGAGCGUUGUCCGGAUUUAUUGGGCGUAAAGCGAGCGCAGGCGGUUAGAUAAGUCUGAAGUUAAAGGCUGUGGCUUAACCAUAGUACGCUUUGGAAACUGUUUAACUUGAGUGCAAGAGGGGAGAGUGGAAUUCCACGUGUAGCGGUGAAAUGCGUAGAUAUAUGGAGGAACACCGGUGGCGAAAGCGGCUCUCUGGCUUGUAACUGACGCUGAGGCUCGAAAGCGUGGGGAGCAAACAGGAUUAGAUACCCCAGUAGUCCCUGUCUCUUAUACA